rnacentral:rRNA from 1 species
GUGCCUAAUACAUGCAAGUCGAGCGAACGGACGAGAAGCUUGCUUCUCUGAUGUUAGCGGCGGACGGGUGAGUAACACGUGGAUAACCUACCUAUAAGACUGGGAUAACUACGGGAAACCGGAGCUAAUACCGGAUAAUAUUUUGAACCGCAUGGUUCAAAAGUGAAAGACGGUCUUGCUGUCACUUAUAGAUGGAUCCGCGCUGCAUUAGCUAGUUGGUAAGGUAACGGCUUACCAAGGCAACGAUGCAUAGCCGACCUGAGAGGGUGAUCGGCCACACUGGAACUGAGACACGGUCCAGACUCCUACGGGAGGCAGCAGUAGGGAAUCUUCCGCAAUGGGCGAAAGCCUGACGGAGCAACGCCGCGUGAGUGAUGAAGGUCUUCGGAUCGUAAAACUCUGUUAUUAGGGAAGAACAUAUGUGUAAGUAACUGUGCACAUCUUGACGGUACCUAAUCAGAAAGCCACGGCUAACUACGUGCCAGCAGCCGCGGUAAUACGUAGGUGGCAAGCGUUAUCCGGAAUUAUUGGGCGUAAAGCGCGCGUAGGCGGUUUUUUAAGUCUGAUGUG